UGAAGUAAUGGAGGAGAUUAGGUUGGGGCCAAAAGGCGGUCUCAUGUACUGCAUGGAGUAUCCUAUUAUUUUUGCAGUGUCUUUGUUCAUUCUAUAGGCUGCCAUAUAAGCCCAUCGUUUCCUUUGGCUUUUUCCAUACGUGAUUAGCCGUACCUGAUUUUGUCUCCAUUCAUGUUUGUGGUUCGCUUUAUUACUUAACUAUUUUCUGAGGUAUAUUUUUUUUUGUAAAAAACGGAUUAUAGAUCUGUCAUCCUUGUAUAACCAUCUGGUUUCUACAUAAGUUUGAUAUCUAACACCAAGGCCAGACAAUGAUUGUAUAACCAUCUGGUGUCCGUAUAAGCUUUGAAAAUGUCAUCCUUUUGCAAGCGAUCAAAUAUCUUCUAGCAUUAUUAUUCAGUUGGCAAGACUGGUCGCCAGAAGCUACUCAAGCAGAAAGGAUGUGUUGUUUGCAUCACGGGCCUUUAGUGCUUCAGGUAACCAAACCUUGCUUUUUCUCAAACUGGUUUGUUGUGUUAUAGAACAAAAGGAAGAAAAUUACAGAUUGUUACAGUAUUCCUGGAAGAAAUACUUCCAUUGCUGGACCAUGGGUUACUUAAUAAGUAGAAUUUCUGGGCUCCUAAUAAAGUACCAUAAUGUUCUGUUAGGACUAUGUUUUUAUGCAGCAUAAUCAGGUUAUGAAGCACGAAUUGUACAUCAGCUUUCAAGUGCCAAGUUCAGUUACCUUGAAUAUUUUAAGUAAUGGUAUGUUGAUUCCACUUUUAUUAGUUCUUUGAGUUCCAUUUCCAGCGCUGAUCUUGAUGCCUAAUCAACUAUUGAGAGCAGACAGCCAUGAGCCUGAGACAAAUGGAAAUUACAAAUUAUUGCAUGGAUUAUUAAUCAUCACAUGCCAUAGAUAAAUUCUUGUUGAACUCAUGUGAUAUUUAUGUUCUGAAAGAUGCUUUAGCUUUCAGUUUGUAUACCUGAGCAGAUACUUCCUGAUUAACUUUUCCCAUGAAAUCUUCACCAGCUCUAUACUUUACCUUUUAUAUCAAAGAACUUCAGUUGUGAUAUCGGAAACCCAUCUUUUCAGUGGCACUUGGUGCCAACCAUGGAGUUCUUCACCAUGAACCUUUCCUGUAUAAUUUAGGACCCUAUCACUAGUGCUAGUCAUGUUAGAGCUUAAUGUGCAUCACUAUCUCAUGAAAGGCACAUGCAUCACUAUCUCAUGAAAGGCACAUGCAAUUUAGGACCCUAUCACUGUCCAUUGUCGUCUCGCCACCGAAGUGCAGCACACCUCAAUGAGAACUUAUUCUAUAAGAUAAGUGAUAAUCUAGUUAAUUUAGCUAAGCUGGACAUAAUCGUUUAAGCCGUUACUCCCUCCCGACCGUGGCGCCCACUCGGUUUUUCUUAGUGCGGUGAACAUGUAAGGGAAUGAAAAACAUAUAGAACAACUUAGGAUAGCAACCCAUAACUGAAAACAUAUAUAACAAAAGUUAUGGUACCCCAAGGUAUAGCCAAAACCUCUGAAAUGUCGAGUUCCAAAUGUCUGAAACAGCAUAACACCCACCUGACAGCCUAACAUUGGAAUCCACUUUUCUCCAAAUUCUCAGUGACAACAGGCUGAUUUUGAUUCACAUAAUUUGCUCACCUAACACAGCUCUACAAGUUUGUUGCAGUAUCCUAAGGCCAGAUGCCCAUAAUUCAAGAGUUAUGGUGCUCUAAAGUUGGGCAAACCUCACUGAAACAUAGUUUCAGUUUAACUGAAACAGCACCUACAAAGUCUGACAGAGAAUUUUGCAGCAGGCUAUUCUCUAAAUUCCAUACAGUAGCAAGCCCAUUCUUUGCACAAAACUUGUUCAUCUACAUCUGGUCUCUCAUUUUGCUACAGAAUCUUAACCCAAAUCGCUUUGUAUUUAUUACCACAAGGCCCCAAAGUUGGGUAAAAACACACAUAUUCAGACUUAAAUAUUGUUCUAAGUCUGAAUCCUAACACCUGACAGUUCACAUUUUGGCCACCUUUACUCCCAAAUUUAUGUGGAACCAGGUCCAUCUCCCUUUAUCAAACUUGUUCACUUUACUAUGGUCUACAACUUUGCUAUGGAACCAUUAGUCUAAAUCUACAUGAGUCAGUCACAAAUGGGCUCCAAACUGAGCACCUUUCACUGAAAUUCAGUUUUCAAUAACUGAAUAUAAUUCAGUUUCAGCCACAACACAGUGCCACUUUAAGCAGUUGUUACUCCAAUUCUUGUAUGGGAUCAUGUCCAUCACCCUUUAAGGAAGUUGUUCACCAAUAUAUGGUAUUUAAUUCCUCUACAAGCACCAUAGUCUAAAACCUUAUAGAACAGUCACAAAUGAGCUCCAAAACAGCCAUCAAUACUGAAUUCCAGAUUCAGCUACUAUUCACAAUCUGAAAAUUCAGAAACAUAGUAGCACCACUUUGAACCACUCUUCUUCCUGGGUUCCAAAUGCUUCUAGGGCAAGUUUCUUAAUAAAUUUUAUACUCCUAUAGUUCCUCUACAAGUUUUAUAUAGUGACCAUUAACCAAAGCCUCUUGAAUUCCAAACUACAAUAGCCCAAAGUUUGCUCCAAAUGCUGAAAUUCAGACUCUGAAUUUCUACCAAGUCUGAAAUUCAGAAACUCUGUUAGCUCUACUUUGGACCAGUUUUUCUCUAAGUUCCAAAUAGUUUUAGAGCUAGGUGACUCAACCAAACUUAUACUCUUCAUGUAGCUCUAUAACUUUGUUAUAAUGACCACCUUCAAAAUGGUUUUAGAUCAGAAGUUGCAAGGGUUCAAAUUUGACUAGUUUAUAUUAUUUUCAGCAAUUCUAAAAUGAACCCAAAGCUGAAUUUUUGUACUUAACUCCAAAAUCUUCCACACAACUUGGGAAUCUCCAAAUAAGAAACUUAUUCACUUUUCCAAGCUCUACAACUUUGGUAUAUGAACUUUUAACCAGUCCUUUAUAGAUUUUAAAUUCCACUUUUGGGCUAGUUUAGGGUUUCAAAUUUGACUCCUUCUCAUCUAUUGAUUUACCAACUCAAUCCAUACUCCUAAAAGACAAGUGACUCCUUAAUCUCAAAUCCAACUCUAGUAUAUGAAGCUUAUGUCAAAAGUGUCCUUGGUUUAGGAGUUGUUUUGUUUAUCCACAAUUCCAAGCAAGGUUUUGAAAUCUCACUUAAGGUUUUUAAGGUUAAUCCAGUUCCUCAAUUAAUUCUUCCACUUAACCCACCUUUGAAAGCAAAGUUGCUCUAGGUCCUAAGUCUUACCUUUAAUACUUUAAAUUCCAUGCCAACUUAUUACUUGCUCAAGAGUCGACUUUUCUUCCCAUGUCUUAAGCAAAGUUCUUAAUCUGAGCCAUAUACUCUAAUACACAACACCAUAUUCAUUGAAAAUUUUUGACCUAGUGAAUGCAUUCUAGGUGUAUCAAGCAAGUUAAUGCAAAUGCUUAUGAUGACAUGUCAGAGUUUUAGUUCAUGUAACACCAGGGGUGUUACAUAAACAAACAAAACAUGACACAAAAUUUGACUGUUUCUUGGAUUGCAGAUAAACUACGCCUCUGCUCAUGACAAUGAAACACUAUUUGAUAUUAUUAGUGUAAAGGUAUGGAACUUAUCAGGAUAUCCAGGAAAUUUACUGCAAUUUAUUUAUUUUGGUAUCAAUUAUCAAUCUGCCAAUCAAUCAUUUUCUUUUGCUUUCUUCAAUAAACAUUUAUUGGCAAGACAGAUUAGCAUGAAUGUUUUGUUACACUUUUUUUUACUGCUUGCAGUAUUUUCUACCUUUUGAAAUUAUGCUUUAUAGUUAUAAACUAAACAUGUAUUUAUGUGACAAUUUAGUUUUCCAGAAACAGUUUUCCUCUUUAUUUCAGAACAUGAUCUGGUACUUUGUGAAGUUUUUUGUUUGUUUGCUUGUGCAGACUCUGAUGAACCUCUCAAUUGACGAGCGAUGCAGGAAAAAUAAUUUGUCCACAAGCAUGAUUGCAUUAUCCCAGGUUUGAACUUAGAAGAUGGCCCUGCACACUCUGCCUCGACGUCAUCUUCACCAGAGCAGACUACUGAUGUUGAUGGAAGUACCACUGGUGAUGUCACCUUCUAAGUAUAACUUGGGAUUUCGGCUCUCAUCAAGUGACUCCUCCCCCUCACGUUGACUUUGCGGACAGAUGUCUCAAUUCUAGUGGUGGAGCUACGAACAACAAUCCGAUGUCCUGAUCGAGAGCGAUGGAGCUAAUGUUUGAACUUGUGAACUAUGGAUGUGAACCUGUGUGAAUUUGUGAACUUAUGUAUUUGGACUUAUGUGAAUUUGCGAACUUAUAUAUUUGGACUUAUGUGAAUUUGUGAUAUGAACAUAUAUCAAUGUGUUUGAAAUCUGUAUUGUAUGUGAUAUAUUGUGUUGCAUGUGA